AAGCCUGUAGCCCAACGGGAGAGGCAAUGGUCUCAGAAACCAUUUUGUGUGAGUUCGAAUCUCACCAGGC
rnacentral:tRNA from 1 species